rnacentral:rRNA from 1 species
AUGCUCAUGUACGUCGAUCUUCUUGAUCUGUCCACUGUCGACUUUACUGAGAUAGGAGGCCCGCCGCCUUCACAUAAGUUUGCUAUCUCUGCGUGGACGUACAAUGGUGUCAAGGUUGUGCUUGCCGCAGACAGGAUAUCUGAUACAAAAUAUGGAAAACUGCAGCUGAUGGCCAAGCAUGCUAUAGAUUACAGUGUGUUUGGUGGGCCACAAAACUUUGGCAAGUGGAUGGAUGUGCAUUCAGCUCUAUCUUGUUCUGCUGAGGCGAGGGCACCUGUUGAGCACCUAGUUGGGCAGUUUGCUUCCGGCAUGACCAGCUUGCUCGGGAAGUUGGUUGAGGGUUGGGCGACACUUAAUGGUUCUGAUAGUGACGUGUGUUUUGUAGAAAAAGAAUAUCAAACGGAGUCCAAACGGAAUGAAACCUUCGGGAACGUGAUUUUCGGAACAAACGUGAUUCAGAGGACUUGGAGUGGACGUCAAGCAACAGACGAGGAAGCCAUGAGGUAG